GCUAUCACUCUUGGAUGGACCUGCGGUGGCAUUAGCUAGUUGGUAGGGUAACGGCCGUACCAAGGCGAUGAUGCAUAGCCGAGUUGAGAGACUGAUCGGCCACAUUGGGACUGAGACACGGCCCAAACUCCUACGGGAGGCAGCAGUAGGGAAUCUUCCACAAUGGACGCAAGUCUGAUGGAGCAACGCCGCGUGAGUGAAGAAGGGUUUCGGCUCGUAAAGCUCUGUUGUUGGUGAAAGAAGGACAGGGGUAGUAACUGACCUUUGUUUGACGGUAAUCAAUUAGAAAGUCACGGGCUAACUACGUGCUAGCAGCCGCGGUAAAU
rnacentral:rRNA from 1 species